rnacentral:lncRNA from 1 species
UUUUUUUUUUUUUAACGAACAGCCAGGGAGGUGACUGUUUAAACGUUUGGCCUGUGAAACAUUAGCUUCCUGCAGAUGAUUAAAAUAUGGCCCGUGUAAACAAAUGAUGACUUAGAUCCUCCUCUGAAGACAGAGGGGCCAUCGACUUUUUUUUUCAGUUUGGUUUUGUUUGGGGCUCUCGAUAAGGAAGGUCUUCAUUCCCAGAGUUACACUGGGGCUUUUCUCUGAUUACCUUUUAAUCAUUCCAUUCCUGCUCCUCAUACCCACACUAGGCAUUGGUCCCAGAUGGCCCCUAACGAGUUACAGAAGUCGAGGCUCAGCAAAACAAAGCACGGAGGUGCCCAGCAAGCUUUGCCCAAGUGAAGGCCUUCCGCCCCUGCUGGAAGCAAUCAUGGAAUCCCCAGUGACUUCAGCAGGAGCUCCAGGCCUUCAGCAUUUGUGUAUGUACAGGUGCUGAGGAGCCGAAGUGCCCUGUACCCCCAAACUU